AUGCACGCUAGCGGCGGGCCUCACACAUGCAAGUCGCGGGAGGAGCUUUCGGGCUUCGACCGGCGUACGGGUGCGUAACGCGUAUACAAUCUGCCUUUCACAUAGGGAUAGCCCGAAGAAAUUUGGAUUAAUACCUAAUGGUAUAUAGAGGUGGCAUCACCUUUAUAUUAAAGCUGAGGCGGUGAAAGAUGAGUAUGCGUUCUAUUAGCUAGUUGGAGAGGUAACGGCUCCCCAAGGCGACGAUAGAUAGGGGUUCUGAGAGGGAUAUCCCCCACACUGGUACUGGGAUACGGACCAGACUCCUACGGGAGGCAGCAGUGAGGAAUAUUGGACAAUGGUCGGAAGACUGAUCCAGCCAUGCCGCGUGCAGGAAGACGGCCUUAUGGGUGGUAAACUGCUUUUGCAGGGGAAGAAUAAGGACUACGCGUAGUUUGAUGACGGUACUCUGCGAAUAAGCAUCGGCUAACUCCGUG
rnacentral:rRNA from 1 species